AGUUUCUAAGUUUCCAUACACUCCGAAAUUCCCUCUAUCAAAUGCUGCAAAAACAAAGAGAGCAUCCAAAGUGGAAGUAGGCACGGGGACAACUGAUGCUAACAUGGACGAAUGGUUGCAGGGAACAGCAUAUGCUCAGUCACUGUCAAACAAGUCAAAGAAGAAGAAGUAAAGUUUCUCGUGCACUUUCUUGAAAGGUGUGGAUUUGGUGGUGUAACCUACAAUUUACAGUUUCAUAGAAGAGGGAGAUAGCAACAGCUUCUGACAAAGCAAAAUCUCUCAAUCUGUGAGUGAAAAUCAAAUUUAAGGUGGUGCUUCACUGUUUGGCAGCUACUAACUGAAAUCUGUCUUUGGAAAAUGAAUAUUUGUAUGCAUAAGAAUUUUUGUAGGGGGUACACAAUGUAGGCAGAUCUUGGUAGUCAGUUCGUCUGAUGAGCAUACUAUUUGCUGAAAUUAUCUGGCAACUCUAGCUCUCAUGCGACAUAUAAAUAUUAAAUGUGUUAUAUAGGAAGCUGAAAUGUUUGAAUUCUAUCACUUUGGACGGUUUAUAUUUGCUUUGCAGAAAGCUCAAAUAUUUUGCCUUU